rnacentral:tRNA from 2 species
AAGAUUUUAUGUUAUUCAAAACUCUCAUCCUUCAAAGUUGAAAAAAAAAGUUAAAUUCUUUUAAAUCUUA